ACUCAAAGGAAUUGACGGGGGCCCGCACAAGCGGUGGAGCAUGUGGUUCAAUUCGAUGCAACGCGAAGAACCUUACCGGGGUUUGAACUGCACGAGAAGUACUCAGAGAUGAGUAACUCUAGCAAUAGACUGGUGCAGAGGUGCUGCAUGGCUGUCGUCAGCUCGUGUCGUGAGAUGUUGGGUUAAGUCCCGCAACGAGCGCAACCCUUGCUUUUAGUUGCUCGCUUACUCGUAAGGGUAGGAAGCACUCUAAAUAGGACUGCCGGUGAUAAACCGGAGGAAGGUGGGGAUGACGUCAAGUCAUCAUGGCCUUUAUGCCCCGGGCUACACACGUGCUACAAUGGCUGGUACAAAGGGUUGCUAAAUCGCAAGAUGGAGCCAAUCCCAGAAAGCCGGCCUCAGUUCGGAUUGCACUCUGCAACUCGAGUGCAUGAAGGUGGAAUCGCUAGUAAUCGCGGAUCAGCAUGCCGCGGUGAAUACGUUUCCGGGCCUUGUACACACCGCCCGU
rnacentral:rRNA from 1 species